ACCCCGGCCGGGUGAUGUGGUCACUUACUGGGGGACUGUUGUCAGGCGCUGGCCACCCACCCUGGGUAGCACUGUCCCAUCUCACGACUGGACUUCCUCAGAUCCUGCAGAGGGCACAGCCUCCAGCCCAGGAGAGGCAGCCCCUUGGUGGAGCCUGAGCUCUCCAUGGGCCUGGAGCAUCACCUGCCAGCCCUGCACUCUCUCUUCUCCCAGGUCCUGCUUUUCCAGGGUCAGCCAGUGGGGAGGCCCCAUCCUCCCUUCCCUAUGUGUCUCCUGGGCUGAAACUUGCAGUGCACUGGGACAGGGAUGAGGCUUCCCUAAGGCCCAUUUAGGGAGAAGACUGGCUCCCAGCCUGGCACAGGUCCUCAGCUCUGCCUUGGUUGCCUUAGAAUGAGAUGGAUCAGUCAGUGCCCUGAAGGUAAAGGUAGGAGACUGUCCCUGCUUUUGGGAGGCUGGUCUAGGGAUGGAGGACUUAACAGGUCCUCCCAGUCUGUCAGGUCUGGGCAGCACUGUCCUGUCUUAGGACUCAGAAAGUCCAGUCCUGGGAUGGGACGGUGCUGCCAAGGGGGGGUGGCCAGGGUCUGACAGCAGUCCCCCAGGGAGUGACCACAUCACCCAGCGGGGGUCCAGGAAUCCUGGCCUGAGACCUGCCCAGUGCACUGAGGGUGCACCUGGAGCCCACUCCACCUGAUGAGCCCACAGCCCUCACAGGUCCUGACCUCCCAGAAUGCACCUGCCUCUCUCUGCACCCCAGCUGUCCACCCUGCCUAUUCUCUCACUUCCUCCAUCCUGUCCAGCGGGAUGGGAUGGGCAGGGGGACAGCCUGUGUGCACAUUUCAUGGCAAGCAGGAGUGACACAUCAUCCCUGGGAGGCACCUUGGUUCCUCCCAAACCCGGCCCCAGAACUCUGUCCCUGGGGUGGUUUUACCAAAUCCCAAACCCAGAACUGUGGUUGUGGUUCAGGGGUCAGCGCCCGCUGGUUCUACAAUGUCGCCAAGGACUUUGACUGUACAUUGUUCUUCUUUUCAAUAGUCAUUCCAAAUAUUGUGAGAUGUAUUGUUUCAGGAAGCCCCUUGCCCUCCUAAAAGCCACCCUACUUCUCUCUAAGGAGAAUGGCCCAGUCCUCUCCCGAGUUCACACAGAGGAGGUGAUAGCAUUGCUUUGUGUAAAUUACAUAAUGCAAAAAUUUUUAAAUCUUUGCAUUAAUACUUUUAACUUUUAUUUUUAAUGAUUAGCCUUCAUGCCCCCCCUUUUUUGUACCCCAACUUGGAGUGUAUGAAGGGUUUUUGUCUCCCUGAGAGCGGCUGGAGGCAGCCAGGGCUUAUCUGUACUCUGAUGAGAAAAGUUGGAUAAAAGUGCACAUCUUUAAAAAAAUUGAAUGACGAAGAAUUAACAAAAACAGUAUUUCAGUACAGUGGACAGCUUAACAUUUUGACAAUUGGGAAUAAAAUGCGCAGUUCUGAACUGUACAAUGUAAGACACAAAAACGAAACACUGGAAAUGGAAAUUCAAUUAUGUCACUGUAGACUGGCUACUGCUCUACAUGAUUGUGACCAAAGUCAGAUAGUUGAAAGAGAUUUCUUUCCAGAGAACAAGACAUGAACAGGUUUAUUUACAGAAAAAAAUGAAUUCUCAUAUAUCUAACCUAAAAUAUAACAGAUUCUUUCAGAACAAGUCUAACGUAGACAGUAAAAUUAACAGGCUAAAAAUUAAGCUCCAUCAAACAAGAUGAACUCUGAGAGAAUAGAUGGGGCAGGCCUCCAUCUUUCCUGUUCAGGCAACUUAGUCAUUCCAGCCUGAGGGCUUUGGAGAGUACAAACUGACCAGUGGCAGAAGAGAUCCCACAGCACAGCAUAGCUGCUUUACCAAAUCAUGGCCAGACUGCUUCUGUAAGCAGGCCCCUGACCCUGUUCCACGUCACAGGACAGGACCUCCCAACUGGGGCCUCCAGCUACCGCCACCAGCAUUCCUUGGCCAAUGGAAAUUUGAAGUGUUCCUGGGACAGAGCUCCCAGAGAGAGGGGCAGGCCACCACCAUUACUGUUUGGGUGACUAGCCGUUCUGGCCUGCGGGCUUUGGAAAGCCCAAGGUGAAAAGGGGUGGAAGAGGAACCUCAGCACAGCACAGCACAGCCACACUACAAAAACGUGGCCAGACUCUUGUUUAAGUCAGUCCCCGACCACAUUUCUAAUCAGUGGGUGAAGCCUUUCAACCAGGGUCUCCAGCUACAUUCACUGCUGUUCUCUGGCCGACAGAGGUUUCAGGCCUCGCUGAGUCAGAGCUCCCAGGAGGAGGACCAGACUGUCAUCUUUGCUGUUGGGGCAACUCAGCCAUUUCAGCCUUAGGGCUUCAGAGUGUCUGAGGCGACCAGGAGUGGAAGUGAACCCCCGGCAUAGCACAGCUGCUCUAGAAAAACGUGGCCAGACUUUUUUUUUAAGCAAGUCCCUGUUCUUGUUCCUCCUGACUAGAUAAGACUUCUCAACUUGUCUGCAGUCAUAUCUUAUAGGUGUGUUCAUAUCGGCAACAAGUUCGUACCUCAGUGGCCCAGAGCUCCCAGAGGAAGGGGCAGGCUAUCAUCUUCCCUGGAAAAUACAAGGCAAAUAGGGACUGGAGGGGACACCCAGCAUACCAGCAGCCUGACAGAAAAGUUGCCAGACAGUCUACUUGAUAAGAAGGUCCUCCUGGCCUGGGUCUCCAGCCAGUCCACCACUGGAGCUAUCAAGCCAGUAGCAACUCAGCAAUUCCCUGGACAGAGCUUCCAGGAGCAAAUGAAAUUCUCUCUGCCACUGUCUCUGCAGUGGAACUGCCCUUGCUACCCUCAGAAUAUCAAGGGAGCAAAGACCCUAAGUGCCAUAUCGACACCUCCAAUAAGCUGCAGUUGACCCAACGAACAAGCCAGUCCAUCUCCCACGUGUGCCACACACCCCACACUGCUCAUCACCAGAGAGGGAACCCUGGCUUGGGCUCACAACACAGACCCUCCAUCCUGGGCUGAUUACGCUAAGUGAUUGCUAACUCACAUCUCUCUGGGAUGGAGCACCCAGGAGAAAAGCAGAGUGGUGGAGCAGCAAGUCAGGUGAUGUGGAGCCCAGAGGGCAGGGACAGCUAUCUCUCUAGGUUCCACUUGCCCUUGUGAGACACUUCAUCCCAGCACUUUAGGAAUGCUAAGCUCAGAUCAGCCCCAUCUCAUGUUCAAGAUUGCCCAGCAGAGAUCAGGUCCCAGAGUUCCUCUCUUAAAAAAGGGGACUUGCUUAAAAAAGAAGCCUGCCCAUGUUUGUGUAAAGCAGCUAUGCUGUGCUGGGGGUUCACUUUUGAGAGAGUUCUCCUCUGAGACCUGAUCUCUGCUGGGCAGUCUUGCCCAUGAGAUGGGGCUGGUCUGAUGUCAGCACUCCUUAGUCUGCUUGCCUCUCCCAGGACCCCAGCCUGACCACACCUGCUUACAGGGCACUCUCGGAUGCCCACAGCAUAGCUUCCGUGCUAGUGGACCAUACCUGAUCAGUGGAGAGCUGCAGCAAGGUGGCCCCAACAGCCACACACCAGUCUGCAGAUUACCUCUCCAUACUGCAGCCCUUUAUAUGGAAACUUCCUACAUCACUUUGCUGUGUGUAUUUACACAGGUGGGUUUUGCUGUACUUGCCCUGAGAGCACAUGGGAGUGCAGCACACACACCAACCCACACCAACUGCCAUUGAAGACAGAGCCUUGGUGGGCACAGAACCAAGAACCCCACCCCUGCCAGCACCUCACCGUUGAGCUAAUGCUGUGCAGAGAAAAAGGGACCUUCUUAUACCCUGAGCGACCACUGUUGCUUUGAGGGGCACAGAGAAGGCACCAUGGUCUGCACUGGCCAGCAGCUCACUCUGAACCAACACUACCUCCAGUACAACACACACACAGCAGGGGAGCCCUGGCCCACACCCCAGCUGUCUUGUCUCCACCACUGGGUGAACACCCGCAGGGAGGCAGGGAAUUUUGCAUCCACUAGCAUUCCGUCACAGUUGCUACACUUCGGUCCCCGCAGUGCAGUGGACUCCAAACCUCGAGGAGCCAGAGAACAAAGUUGGGGCCCAAGACAAGUUCCCCAGAGUUAAAGCACACAGUCCAGGAAUUGGGAGCUGCACAUUGGCCCCCCCAAAAUCCUCCAAAAACAAAGCCAGUUGGUUGAAUCCACCUUAUACCGCAAUGAAACCCUCAAGAUCAUCAAAUACAAUAAAAGAAAAAUACCCUGUCCUAAGGUCAGCAACCUCAAAGAUGGAAGGUGGAUAAGCCCAUAAAGAUGAGAAAGAAUCUGUGUGAGAACACUGAAAACUCAAAAAGUAGCAUGCCUUCCUUCCUCCAAAUGACUGCAUCAACUCUCCAGCAAGUGUUCAGAACUGGGCUGAGGCUGAGAUGUCUGGAAUGAUACAAGCAGUGUUCAGGAUAUGCGUAGGAACAAAGUUCACUGAGUGAAAGAAGUAUGUUGUCAUGCAAUACAAGCGAGCUAAAAAUCAUUGUAAAACAUUGCAGGAGCUAACAGACAAAAUAGCAAGUAUAAAGAAGACAUAACCGACCUAAUAGAGCUGAAAAGCACACUAUAAGAAUUUUCAUAAUGGAGUCACAUGGUGAUUAUGUGUGAUUGCAUUAUGAAAAUUAUUGUAGUGUGUGUGGGCACCCGAGAUUGCCCUGUAAGCAGUUGUGGCCAGGCUGGGGUCCUGGGAGAGGCAAGCAGACUAAGGAGGGCUGAGGUCAGACCAGCUCCAUCUCAUGUGCAAGACCACCCAGCAGAAUAGACCAAACAGAGGAAAGAAUCCCAGAGCUUGAAAACUGGCUUUCUGAAAUAAAACAGGCAGACAAGAAUGGGGGAAAAAAAGAAGGAAAAGAAAUGAACAAAGCAUCCGAGAAAUAUGGGAUUAUAUAAAUGACCAAACCUAUGACUGAUUAAUGUACCUGAAAGAGAUGAGGAGAAUGGAAGCAGCUUGGAAAACGUACUUCAGAAUAUCUUUCAUGAGAAUGUCCCCAACCUAGCCAGACAGGCCAACAUUCAAAUUUAGGAAAUCCAGAGGACCGCAGUAAGAUAUGCCAUGAGAAGAUCGUCCCCAAGACAUAUAAUCAUCAGAUUCUCCAAGGUCAAAAUGAGAGAAACAAUGUUAAAGGCAGCUAGAGAGUUAAAAUGGUUAAAAUGAGAGCUAGAGAGUUAAAUGGUUAAAAAAAAAAAGACAAGAAAUUUCAACCCAGAGCUUCAUGUCCAGCAAAAUUAAGCAUAAGUGAAGGAGAAACAAGAUCCUUUCCAGACAAGCAAAUGCUGAGAGAAUUCAUUAUCACCAGAUCUACCUUACAAGAGCUCCUGAAUGAAGCAUUAAAUAUGGAAAGAAAAGACCAUCACCAGCCACUACAAAAAUGCACCAAAGUACACAGAACAGUGAUGCUAAAAACCAACCACAUACACAAGACUGCAAAAUAACCAGCUGACAGCAUGACGACAAGAUCCAAUCCACACAUACCAUUACUAACCUUAAAUGGAAAUGGGCUAAAUGCUCCAAUUGAAAGACACAGGGGGGCAAGCUGGAUAAAGAACCAAGACCCAUUUGAGUAUGCCAUCUCCAAGAAACCCAUCUCACAUGCAGUGCCAUACAUAGGCUCAAAAUAAAGGAAUGGAGAAAAAUCUUUCAAGCAAAUGGAAAACAGAAAAAAGCAGGUGUUGCCCUCCUAGUUUUGACAAAACGUAUAUACCAAUAAAGAUUUAAAAAGACAGAGAAGGACAUUACAAAGAUGUCCCUGACCUUUGAUAAAUCUCAUUAUUGCUUGAUACCAACCUGGGCUAUCUUUAUUGCCCAAAUCAACAGGAUAAUUUGCUGAGUUUGUGGAGUUUCUCCCCUGCAGAGGGUCCCUGAUCUCCCAAAACCUAGUUGAGAUCUAAGUUUGAUUUUGCUGUACAACUCCUUUUCUGAAGUUUUACUCAUUUCCAACAAGGAAGGCAAGUUUUCCUGCUUCCACGAUGAUGGAGAGCAGGCACCUCCUUUCCUGAGUUUCAGCUUGCUUCUGACAGGGAAGGUGAGUGUAAGUUUUUUCCAGCUUCUAAGAUGGCAGAGAAUGAUCACCAGCCUGAGCCUUAUUUCCAGGUAAGUAGCUGAAUUUGAGUUUUGUCUUAAAAUUUUUCCUUAAUGACUAAAAUUUAAGAUUACUCACCAGUUGCUUUUAAUUUCUGCUUUUAAUUUCUCCUUACCAUUAGAACACUCAGUAAUCAUAUGAAUUAUGCAUUUGUUGUUUUGCUUAACUCUUUUUGUUUGUUUAUGCUUGGGGUUUUAUUGUUGUUGUUUCACUUUUCUCCCAUCUCUUCCUGACUUGGUCAAAUUCAAAGGAAUGUUCCAAAUUGUGGGGAGCAAGGCCUCUGAAUUGGCUAAAACUCCUAUGGCUGCAAAAAAACAAACAAAUAAACAACAACAAAAAACAUUCCAGUUAGCAGAAAUUAUUUUUUAAAACUUUUUUUUUUACGUAAGUGGUCUCAUCUACAUAAAAAGGCCAUUCUUUUGCUAGCCAAGGCCAAAGUGAAGGAGUACUGGUGGUGACCUAAUGUGAAGAUUCUGCCCUGUUCACUACAGAAACCUGAGUUUGAUUCCUAAGUCUAGUUCUUUCUGUUUGAUAUUUGUGUUACUUUUAGAACGUGAGCAGUUUGUCCCAGCUAUGAUGUGGUAGUAAAAGAUUCGAAAGGAUUUUCUUUACAAGUUCUAUGAUUAAAAGCUUAAUUAAAAGCAAAUUUCUUUUUUUUUAAAUUAUACUUUAAGUUCUGGGGUACAUGUGCAGACAUGCAGGUUUGUUACAUAGGUAUACACAUGCUAUGGUGGCUUGCUGCAUCCAUCAACCCAUGAUCUACAUUAGUUAUUUCUCCUAAUGCCGUCCCUCUCCUAGCCCCCCACCCUGACAGGCCCUGGUGUGUGAUGUUCCCCUUCCUGGGUCCAUGUGUUCCCAUUGUUCUACUCCCAAUUAUGAAUGAGAACAUGUGGUGUUUGGUUUUCUGUUCUUGUGUUAGUUUGCUGAGAAUGAUGCUUUCCAGCUUCAUUCAUGUCCCAGCAAAGGACGUGAAUUCAUCCUUGUUUAUGGCUGCAUAGUAUUCCAUGGUGUAUAUAUGCCACAUUUUCUUUAUUCAGUCUAUCAUUGGUGGGCAUUUUGGUUGGUUCCAAGUCUUUGGUGUUGUGAACAGUGCCGCCAUAAACAGACAGGUGCAUGUGUCUUUAUAUUAGAAUGAUUUAUAAUUUUGGGUGUAUAUACCCAGUAAUGGGAUUGCUGGGUCAAAUGAUAUUUCUAGCUGUAGAUCCUUGAGGAAUUGUCACACUGUCUUCCACAAUGGUUGAACUAAUUUAUAUUCCCACAAACUGUGUAAAAGCAUUCCUAUUUCUCCACACCCUGUCCAGCAUCUGUUGUUUCCUGAUUUUUUAACAAUGGCCUUUCUAAGUGGUGUGAGAUUGUAUCUCACUGUGGUUUUGAUUUCCAUUUCUCUAAUGACCAGUGAUGAUGUGCUUUGCUUCACAUGUUCGUUGGCUGUAUAAAUGUCUUCUUUGGUAAGUGUCUAUUCAUAUCCUUUGUCCACUUUUUGAUGGGAUUGUUUGUUUUUUUUCUUGUAAAUUUGUUCUUUGUAGAUUCUGCAUAUUAGCCCUUUGUCAGAUGGAUAGAUUGCAACAAUUUUCUCCCAUUCUGUGGGUUGCCUGUUCACUCUGAUAAUAGUUUCUUUUGCACUGCAGAUACUGUUUAGUUUAGUUAGAUCCCAUUUGUCAAUUUUGGCUUUUGUUGCCAUUGCUUUUUGUGUUCUAGUGAUGAAGUCUCUCCCCAUGGCUCUGCCCUGAAUGAUAUUGCCUAACACAAGGAUAUUUCUGUGCCUGAGUGCUAUACCACCCAAAGUAAUUUAUAGAUUCAUUGCUAUCCUCAUCAAGCUACCAUUGACUUUCUUCAUAGAAUUAGAAAAACUACUUUAAAUUUCAUAUGGAACCAAAAAAGAGCCCACAUAGCCAAGACAAUCCUAAGCAAAAACAACAAAGCUAGAGACAUCACAGUACCUGACUUCAAAUUAUUCUACAAGGCUACAGUAAUCAAAACAGCAUGCGGCUGGUACCAAAUCAGAUCUAUAGACCAAUGGAACAGAACAGAGGCCUCAGAAAUGACACCACAUAUCUAAAACCAUCUGAUCUUUGACAAACCUGACAAAAACAAGCAAUGGGUAAAGGAUACCCUAUUUAAUAAAUGAUCUUGGUAAAACUGGCUAGCCUUAUGCAGAAAACUGAAACUGGGCCACACCCAUACACCUUAAACAAAAAUUAAGUAACAUGGAUGAAAGAGUUAAACGUAAGACCUAAAACCAUAAAAAAAUCUAGAAGAAACCUAGGCCACCAAGCUCAGGGGAAAUGCACCUGUAGUGAAAUGCAUGGUACAAACACGCAUUCCCUGCUUCCUUGAGUGGGCGAUGUUGAUGGCUAGUCCAAUCACUCCAGGCACACCCUUGCAAACGUGGCUGGUUGCUUUUUGAGCCAGCUUGGCUUUGCCCGGCAUGCACAAGUCAGUGCAACAACUGUGACACAAAUGGAGCCACACAGAGAAAAUGAGCAGCAGGCUCAGGAGCAGGGUGUGCGCUGCCUUGGGGGCUCCAGUCCAUACCUCAGGGCUCAUAUGGCACUGCGGGCUUCUUGGUUGCAAAGAGGCAGGCCACAGGCCAUCUUCAGGAGGUCUUUAUGUGCAGAAAGCAGCCAGGAUUACCACCCGUGGGACUCGGCCUUUUGUGACCCUGGCCUGACAGAGUUUGGUCCAAGGCAGGACAAGCUCACUCAGAGCAACGUGUCAGUACCUGGGGCCUGUGCAUGCCAGUCAAGGCCAAGCUGGCUCAAAGAGCAACCAGCCACCUCUGCAAGGGUGUGCCUGGAGCAGGUGGAGGAGCCACCAACCUCACCCACUCAAGGAAGCCCAGAUGGCCAGGUUCCAACAGCAUGAGUGGCUGCCACCUUAUGACUGAUGGAGCAGAGUCCUGAGGAAAAGCAGAUGGCACUGUGGCCCUAACUCUAGGGCAGAAGAACUGAUGUACCCUGACUGGCAGGAUGUGAGGUUGGUGACUGGCCCACCUGCUCCUGGCACACCCCUGCAGGGGUGGCUGGUUGCUCUUUGAGCCAGCUUGGCCUUGCCUGGAAUGCACAAGCCUCGGUGCAACAACCGUUCUACAAAUGGAGCCAUAUAUAGGAAAGGAGCAGGAGGGUCGGGAGCAGGGUGUGCACUGCCUUUGGGGCUCCAGUCCAUGCCUCAGGGCUCCUAUGGCACUGCAGGCUUCUUGGUUGCCAAGAGGCAGACCACAGGCCGUCUUGAGGAAGACUUUAUGUUCAAGUGCAGAAAGCAGCCAGGAUUAGCACCCAGAGGACUCGGCCUUCUGUGGCCCUGGCCUGACAGAAUUUGGCCCAAGGCAGGACAAGCUCACUCAGAGCAGUGUGCCAGUAGGUGGGGCCUGUGCAUGCGAGGCAAGGCCAAGCUGGCUCAAAGAGGAAUCAGCCACUUCUGCAAGGGUGUGCCUGGAUCAGGUGGACAAGCCAAUAAUCUCACCCACUGAAGGAAGCCAGGAUGGCCAGGUUUCCACAGCCUGAGUGGCUGCCUCCUGAUGGCUGAUGGAGCAGAGGCCUGAGGAAAAGCAGGUGGCAUGUUUAACUCUUUAAUCUAUCUUAAGUUAAUUUUUGUAUAAAGCAGAUGGCACCGGUCCUUGCCUCGGGGUUCAUAUGGCACUGCGGGCCACAGAAGGCUGAGUCCCCUGGGUGGUAAUCCUGCCUACUUUCUGCACUUGAACAUAAAGUCCUCCUCAAGACGGCCUGUGGUCUGCUUCUCGGCCCCACCUUUAGGGUAGAAGAACUGAUGUACCACAUCUGACAGUGAGUGAGGUUGGCGGCUGGUCCAUCUGUUCCUGGCACACCCUUGCAGAGGUGGCUGGUUGCUCUUUGAGCUAGCUUGGCCUUGCCUGCCAUGCACAAGCCUCACUGCAACAAGUGUACUACAAAUGGAGCCAUAAAGAGGAAAUGAUCAGCAGGCUCAGGAAUGGGGCGUGCACUGCCUUUGUGGCUCCAGUCCAUGCCUCACGGCUUGUAUGGCACUGUAGGCUUCUUGGUCGCCAAGAGGCAGACCACAGGCGGUCUUGAGGAGGACUUUAUGUUCAAGUGCAGAAAGCAGCCAGGAUUAGCACCCAGGGGACUUGGCCUUCUGUGGCCCUGGCCAGAGGUAGAAUUUGGCCCAACACAGUACAAGCUGACUUGGAACAGCGUAUAGGUAGCUGGGGCCUGUGCAUGCCAGGCAAGGCCAAGCUGGCUCAAAGAGGAAUCAGCCACCUCUGCAAGGGUGUGCCUGGAGCAGGUGGAGCAGCCACCAACCUCACCCACUCAAGGAAGCAGGGAUGGCCAGAUUCCUACAGCCUGAGGGGCUGCCUCCUGAUGACUGAUGGAGCAGAGGCCUGAGGAAAAGCAGAUAGCACUGUGGCCCUACCUGUAGGGUAGAAGAACUGAUGUACCCCGACCGGCAGCAAGUCAGGUUGGUGGCUGGUCCACCAGCUCCAGGCACACGCUUGCAGAGGUGGCUGAUUCCUCUUUGAGCCAGCUUGGCCUUCCCCGGCAUGCACAAGUCAGUGCAACAACUGUGACACAAAUGGAGCCACACAGAGAAAUUGAGCAGCAGGCUCAGGAGCAGGGUGUGCGCUGCCUCGGGGGCUCCAGUCCAUGCCUCAGGGCUCGUAUGGCACUGCGGGCUUCUUGGUUGCAAAGAGGCAGACCACAGGCCAUCUUCAGGAGGUCUUUAUGUUGAAGUGCAGAAAACAGCCAGGAUUACCACCCGUGGGACUCGGCCUUUUGUGGCCCUGGCCUGACAGAAUUUGGCCCAAGGCAGGACAAGUUCACUCAGAGCAACGUGUCUAUACCUGGGGCCUGUGCAUUGCCAGUCAAGGCCAAGCUGGCUCAAAGAGCAACCAGAGCAUCCAUUCUGGUGGAUGAGCCAACCACAUGGCCAGCUUCUGGGUGUGGGCACAGUGCCACAUCUUCCAUCACUUUCUGAUGUAUCCCACCAGCACUGAAGAGACAGCCUGGAGAGAGUGCAAGAGGAAGGCUGAGAAGGAUGAGAUGGUGAGUGCUGGCUUCUUUCUGACCCUCAGCACACCCCCAGGUGGGGACCAUCAACCUUUAGGGGUGGGAGAGCAAGAUUGAUGGCUUCAAAUGCUUCCCCAAGAAGAUGGACACAGGACACUCAGCUCAACCUCACAGCCAAUGAGUUGACAUGCAAGCAGAUGACAGUGCAAGCUCUUUUAGAAAGAGCUUCAGAAGGUGGCCAGUUUUUCUUCAGCCUCAGCCAGGCCUUGGAGCUUGACUAGGCCAUCCACUUCAGCAGAGAUGCCUUCAAGAACAUCAGUGAGCUCUUUGCCAAUCAGUCCAGGAAGGACCUGGAGCCAGCCAUGGACCUGUUAGUGCUGUCUCAGGGACACCAGACCAACAUCCUGGACAUCAUCCUCGUACACAAGGAAGCUCUUACCAAAGUCACGGACAACAGGCAACAUGUGGCAGAAGGGAAGACAGAGUUACAGAGGCUGAUGGCGUCAUUAUCACAGGAACAGGAUUUCUUUGGCCACUUUGGCUGAAAUUUACCACUUCCAUCCAAUUCACUCAAGUGAGAGACUUGAAAUCACAGAUGGAGCAUUUCUUGCAACAAGAGAUACUAUUUUUUCAAAAAGUCACCUAAAAUUUGAUAGUGUUGAAUGACUAGUUAUUUGAUUGUGAACUUUUUCCAGUUCACAGGUACUUUCUACAGCAGAAUGAUAACAGUAUCAAAGAGCUAGUGCCAGCUAUCAGUGGUAGUACAAGGAUGAUUUUGUGCUCAACUGAAACCCAGCUGAAUAUAGAAUUGUGUAGGAUAGUGUUAAUAUGGUGAUAAAAUAGAAACAGCAGCAAAUGAACUAAGUCAUACUAUGAAUGCCUACGCUACCAUGGUUACUUUUUGAAGAAUGAUAAUAUCACUUACUUUAUUGCCUUUUGAAGUAGGAAUAUUUUAGUGGAUAUGCUAUAGACCUCAAGCCCUAUAAAGAGUCUCAAAGAAGCUGGCUGGAUAAAGCCUGCUGUGGAUGUCUUUAUACUCAAAGACUGAUGACGCCAUUCGAAUAUGUGUCCCCACCACAUCUCAUGUUGUGUUAUAUUUCCUAAUGUUGGAGGUGGGUCCUGGUAUAAGGCGAUUGAAUCAUGAAGGCAAACUUCUCAUGAAUGGUUCAGCACCAUCCCCUUGGUACUGUCCUCAUCACAAUCAUGAGUGACCUCGUGAGAUCUGGCCACUAAAAACUCUAUAUCACUCCCUACUCUCCGUGAUUUCCUCUUGCCAUGUGAGACAAUUUGCUCUUUCAUUGCAUUGUGCAAUGAUUGAAAGAUUUCUGAGACCCCCCAGAAGCAGAAGCACUGUGCUUCCUGUCCACCCUGCAGAACCAUGAGCCAAUUAAACCUCUUUUUCCAAAUAAAUCAUACCAAAAAUGGCAAAUGAGGACUGGAGCUUUGCUAUAAAGAUACCUAAAAAUGUGGAAGCAGCUUCGGAACUGGGUAAUGGGUAGAGGUUGGAAGAGUUUGGAGGGCUCAAAAGAAGACAGACAGAUGAGAACAUUUUUGGGCCAUCUUAGAGACUGGUUAAAUGGUUGUGACAAGAAUGCUGACAGAAACAUGGACAGUGAAGGCCAGGCUGAGGGGGCCUAGAUAAAAAUAAGAAGCUUUCUGGAAAAUGUCUUCCUUUUGGAUAUGGAAAGCUUACACAAUGCCUGUACCAUCAUUUUACUUUAGACGCAGUGAACUUGCUUUUUAUUUCAGAGACUCGUAGGAAAAAGAGAAUGUAGCCUUGACCCAGAUGAGACUUUGUACUUUGUAACUUUGAGUUAAUGCUGAAAUGAGUUAAGACUUUGGGAGACUGCUGGCAAUGCAUGACUGUAUUUUGCAAAGUGAGAAGGACAUGAGAUUUGUGGUGUCAGGGACAGAAUAAUACGGUUUUUCUCUAUGCCCCUUCCAAAACUCAUGUGAAAAUACACUCCCUAAUGUUAGAGUCGGGGCCUAGGUGGAAAAAGCUUUAAUCAUAAAGGAGUGGGAGUGGAUCCUUCACAAAUGGUAAAGCACCAAGACCUUAAUGCCAUCCUCCUGAUAGUGAGUGAGUUCUCAUGAGAUCUAGUAGUUUAAAAGGCUGUGGAACCUCUUUCCUCUCUCUGUCUUGCUCCAACUUCUGCCAUAUGAAACAUGUCAUUGCCGCUUGGAUUUCCGGUGUGGUUAGGAGGGGCCUGAUCAUUGUGGGCCUGGUCAGUGGUAGGUCAGUGAGGCCUAUUUAGUGGGAUCGUGGUCAGCAGGGGUCUGCUUAGAGAGGGUCUUAUUACUGGGAUCAAGUUUUAGGGGUUUUGGUGAGUGGGGACCUAUUGGCUGCCAGAUGUUUGGUGUCUGGUCAGUGCAAACCUGGGCUGUGGGGCUUGAUCAGUGGAGACCUGGUCAUCUGGGACUUAGUGCUGGCCUGGUCAGCAUGGGCUGGGGCACUGGUGACCAGGUCAAGGGGUGCUAUUCAGUGGAGGACUGGGCACAUGGAACCCAGUCAGCAGAGCCUGGUAGGCGUGUCCUCAUCAGUGAGGCCCUUGUCGGUGGGUCCCUGGUCAGGGCAGCCUUGUCAGUAGGACCUAAUCGGUAGGGUCCUGGUCAGAGAGGACUUUGUCAGUGGUGACUUUUGUAGCACUGGUCUACAGGGUGACCUGGUCAGCGGGGAUCUGAGCAUUACAUGCCUGUUCAGUGGGGUCUACUCACGAGGGUCCCAGUCAGGGGCAUCUGGUGACCUUAGGCCUGGUUAGUAGUGGCCUGAUCAGUGGCAACCUGUUCCCUGGAGGCCUGGUCAGUGGGGCCUCAUCUUUGGGGCCAGGGAAUGAGGUCAUGAUCAGUGGAACCUGAUCAGUGAGGCCUUGUCAAUAAUGACCUAGUCAGUGAGGACUUGUCAGUAAGGACUUUGUCCGUGAGGCCUUGUCAGUGAGGCCUUGUCAGUAAGGUCCUGGUCAGUGGAGUCCUUGUCAUUGUGUGCCUGGCAGUGGGGGCCUUGUUAUUGGGGCCUGGUCAUGAGGGUCUAAUCAGUGAGGGUGUUGUCAGGGAGGACCUGAUUUGCAGGGUCUGGUCAGCAGGGACCUGGUCAAUGUGGGCUACUGAGCACUGCUUGGAUAAGCCAGGUGCAAUGUGCAUUAUUGAAGGCCCUGUGGACAGCUGGGGUAGCCCAGUGGUGCCCAAGGGCCCAGUCAAAAGUGGACAAAGCAUGUGUUUGGAUGGACCUGGGAGAUCCUGCUGAGAGAUUCUGAGAGGACAACGGUAAAGGAAGGGCCAGAGUGGCUGGAGAGAUGGUCACAGUCUAUGGGCUGCACAGGAUGGAGGAGGCCAGGUAACAGGCAGGGUGGGCAGUUGGGGUUCAGGGAGAGGCAGGUGCAUGCUGGGAGGUCAGACCCUGUGAGGGCUGUGGGGGCAUCAGGUGAGGUGGGCUCUAGGUGCACUCUCAGUGCACUGGGUAGGUCUCACCCCAGGCUCCCUGGACCCCAGCCAAGUGAUGUGGUCACUCCCUGGGGGACUGCUGUCAGGCCCUGGCCAACCACCCUGGGCAGUGCUGUCCCAUCUCAGGAUUGGACUUUCUCAGUUCCUGCAGAGGGCACAGCCUCCAGCCCAGGAGGGGCAGCACCAUGGUGCAGCCCGAGCUCUCCAUGGGUCUGGAGCAUCCCCUGCCAGCCCUGCACUCCCUCUUCUCCCAGGUCCCACUUUUCCAGUAUCAGCCAGCUGGUAGGCCCCCUCCUCCCUUCCCUAUGUGUCUCCCGGGUGGAAACUAGCGGCGGAUUGGGACAGGGAUGGUGCUUCCCUCAGGCCCACUUAGGGAGGGGACUGGCUCCCAGCCUGGUGCAGGUCCUCAGCUCUGCCUUUGUUGCCUUAGAGUGAGAAGGAUCAGUUAGUGCCCUGAAGGUGAAGGUAAGAGAUUGUCCUUGCUGUGUGGGAGGCUGUUCUAGGGAUGGAGGACUUGGCAGGUUCUCCCAGUCUGUCAGGCCUGGACAGCACUGUCCUGUCUCAGGACUCAGAAAGUCCAGUCCUGGGAUGGGACGAUGCUUCCCAGGGUGGGUGGCCAGGGUCUGACAGUAGUACCCCAGGGAGUGACCACAUCACCCAGCCAUGGUCCAGAGGGCCUGGACUGAGACCUGCCACAUGCACUGAGGGUGCACCUGGAAUCCACUCCACCUGACAUCCCCGCAGCCCUCACAGGCCUGACCUCCCAGCAUGCACCUGCCUCUGCCUGCACCCCAGCUGUCCACUCUGCCUGUUCCCUGACUUCCUCCAUUCUGUCCAGUAGGAUUGGCUGGUCUCGGGCGACAGCCUAUGUGCACAUUUGGUGGCAAGUAGAAGUGACACACCAUCCCUGGGAGUUGCCAUAGUUCCUGCCAAACCCAACCCCAGAACUCUGCCCCUGAGGUGGUUUUACUAAAUCCCAAACCCAGAACUGUGGUUGUGGCUCAGGGGUCAGCACCCGCUAGUGCCAGGACACUAUUGGGAGGCUGGGACCUGACCAAAACCCAUGGUGCCUGUGGCCUGAGGACAGUGUGUCUUGGGGCCAUAAGGCCAGGCCAACAAUGGCCAUUGUGUCAUAGGGGCUCAGCCCCAGUGUUUAUCCUUCCCUGGCUACUUCUGAUUCAGUCCCAUCAGGGCCCUGGAGCCCAAGACCCAGCAUCCAAGGUCCCCUCCAGGAAUCCUGGUGGCUCAGCUUACUUUAUUGUGUUUCAUCUGACAACAAAAAUGUCAGAUUGGAUGCACAGAAAAAUGACUGGAAGUGCUUAAUGACUAGAAGAAAUCUAGGAGCAGCAAGAAGGUAAUGUGGAGAGGGCAGGAACUCCAUGACUGGUAUCUGCAGAGCCAGGGGUACAGGCACCCAGUGCUGUGUCCUGGCACCACCUGUCUCUCUCAGGGUGAAUAGCACACUGUCCUUACCCAGAGGACAGCAGACCUGGUCACCAGGUUUCGGCCUGUCCCUGCAAGCAUCACAUUGCUGGAAGAGAAUCUCAUGCCUGAGCUGGCACCAUCCCUAGCUCAGGGGUUAGGGGUUGUCUCUUGGUGACCUAAAUGAAAAAAUAGGUCUAGAUCAGAUUUCCCGACGCUGAGCACUCAUCCACUCUUUGAAUCGUGGGAGGGGAGUCCCGGUCCUCGGCUGCUCCUCAAGGGAGACCCCUUUCAGGUAUGGGGCUGGGCAAGGUCAAUCCUGCUGGAUGUCUAGAAGGUGGAAACCAAGGACCUAGGAAAAUACCAGGUACAGACUUUCCACGCUCAUCCAGAGCAGGACAAACAGGCCAGGCGAUGUCAGGAGCCCAGGUCUCCAGCUGGAGGGAACGUCAACCCUGCAGUGGGAGCAGGGGCCCAUUGCACAUCCUAGGCACAGAUGGUAACGUAGGCACCACAGUGAGCCCUUUGUUCAUUCUGCGGUUGGGCUGCUUUCUCCUCUGGGCCCUGCCCUGCAGAUCAGAAAGAAGAACAGUAAGAGGUCCCCAGCAAACAUCCACAGAUGGCCCUGGAGAUAAGUCACCUUCUGAGAAACACGUCAUAUUCUGGGAGGGCUAAGGCAUUAAGCAAGUCUUAUGGGGUUGGAGGAUCCCGGGGCAGGUGUGGCAAUCCAUAGCCAUGGGGGCUUCCCAGGGGAAUUGGGAGGUCCCAAGGCAGAGGCAGGGGUUCCACAGGAGGAGUCACAGAGCCACCAAGGGCUCUCCUGGCCCAGGAAGCAGUCAAUACCAUGGACUGAACACCUGCUGGGCUCCAAGCCCUGGUCCAGGAUGGGGCAUGUGGGGCCCGGAGGGAGCUCAGAGUGGGAGGCAGAGAGAAGCGUGCUCAGAGGGCACCCAUUUCUGCAUGUAACGUGGUCCUGAGAUUUUUGCUGGGAAGGGUUUCCAGGGUUUCAUAUGUGUUAUGGAGCUACUUCCUCUCCCCAGCCUCACCCUGCAGGAAUCCAGUGACUAUAUUGCCGCCAGUGUACCCAUUCCUGAGGGGUGAUGCUUCUACAAGGCCUGUGACUUGGUGCACAACUUCAGACACCAUCAUCCUGAGCAAGUGGGCUUCUCCGGGAUCUUAAUUCAGGAGGUAGAAUGCAGCUUGAGAUCAAGUGUCCGAUCAAAGAACUUGAACUUGAUCUGGAGUGCUUUGGGGAGCCAUGGAAGGUGCUGGAUAAAGGAGGGGACAGUCAGAUACGUGUUAGAGAUGACUGUAGAAGGCUGACUGGAAUGAGUGAACAAGAGCAGACCAGGGAGGGAGCUUGUGGGGCAGGUCUGGAGAUGGCAAGGGAGGGAUCCUGCUUGGAUGAACAGUCUCCAGAGACUGUCUCAGGUUACAAUCAGGUGCCCUCAGAGCUAGUGUGUUCAGAGGUCUUGUCUCUAGGAUGAAAAUGGGAAGGAGUUGUCAGAUGAGGACGUGUAAAUGGAGGCUGGCCUGUUCAUGAAUGCCAGUGGUGGUCCUGGUGUGGGGCUACUAUGAGAACAGGGGUCUGUCCAUCCAGGGACAUGGUGGAUGGACCCUACAUCACUCCAUUCUGCCCUUUCCUUCCCUCCUCCCAUUCUACCAAGGGCCUCACUGCAUUGGCACUCUCCAUCCUCUGGUACUGAAGCAGCCAAGAGACACAAACCUGCCUGGCCACCUUUAGAAUAUGACAGCACAGCCAGUGACCUCUACUGGAUCCUGUACAACCUCACAAGACCCCCAGACACCAGGAGUGCUGCUAGAACAUGGUGCAAGAGUCCUGAGGGACCACAGUCCUGAAGACAUUGAAUGUUUUUAGGUGAAAAAAACUGGGGCAAAGAGCAAUACAAGAGAGUUGCCAAAAUUCAUACUGCUUGUCCAGGUUUGAAGCAAGCAGUCUGCACCUAGUGUCCUUGUCUGUAACCAUGGCACCCUGGUUUCUCACACAUCUCAUAAUGGAGUUCCACCUUGUGUCAAGCAUGGCACUGAGCAGUUUCUUUUAAGAACAUAACUUGUAAUUAUGUAGAUUACUAAUUCUACUUCAAAAUGACACACAGUCUUCAUGUGAUAAAAGGAAACAAUUGGUAAGUGUAAGCAUUGAGAACAAACAUUCUUUUUUCCACUCCUGACUCCAUUCCAACGUUCAGACAGUGUUUUCUCUGUGCCUGUAGAAACCUCAGCUCCUGUGCCGAGGAGCCUGGUCCCUUUGGCAAAGCAGUGUGGCAGUCAGGUGCUGGCAGGAAACUCUCAUCAGCUGACGGGCCAUUAAGAAGGAGCUGUUUACAACGGCGUGGGCAGGGUCAGGGGGAACGAGGAGGGAUGGCACAAGGCCCUGGGGUUAGGGUCAUCUGGGAACUGUCACCACCCCCCAGUCUUGUGGAGCCAUAGAGAAGCUUUCUCAGGAACUCAUAGGGAGAAUCUGCAGCUGAAAGGGGAGGCCAGAGGAGACAUCACUCCCUUGCCCUUUGACUGCGUCUGGAUGCCCCUACUGACCACACUACCAUCCCCUUAUUAGACUGGAGAGGCUGCCGGGAGGGUUCCUAAGCCUCCUAUUGUGGCUCACCUCCAACAGGAUCUCUACUAAGAUGUUGGCAGCCCGGCCAGCUGGUCUGGCCAUGGAUGUGACUUCAGGGGCUGGUUAUGCUUCAUGCACCUGCUUCUAGCUUCACUGUUGGGCCAGAUUUCAUCCCCAUCCCAGCUCUGCAGCACACCUGCUUCUUGAUUCCUCCAUGGACCCUGCGUGAAAUUACCCCAUGUUUCCCUUUGUGCACCACUGAGGAAGGAAGCAUGAAGGACGCACAGCCAUUUUGCAGACCCUGGUCACAGUGAAACAUUCCAUGGGAACUCAGGCUGUGAGAAUCAUCCUUCCUAACCACAUGACUGCAGGAACAUCCUUAUCGCACCCUCCCAGGCAAAGGCCCAACAGCCUGACUGCAGGGACAUCCUUGCCAUUUCCUGCUGGGCAGCAAGCUCUACCACCCAGACCCCUCCCUCCCAUCCCAUGAUUACCUCAGCCUGUGAGCGGCAGUUGGCGCUGGCACUAAGCUGGUUCACCCCUCCUCAGGGUUUUGUUGGCAAUAAAAGUGUUGCUGUUGAAGCCGCCAA